AAAGAACUUUGGAAAGAGAGUUAAACAGUACGUGAAAUUGUUGAAAGGGAAACGCUUGAAGUAGUCGCGUCAGNNAGGGAUUCAACCUUACUUUUGUGAGGCGUACUUCCUGGUUGAUGGGUCAGCAUCAGUUUUGGCUGCUGGAUAAAGGUCAGAGAAAUGUGGCACCUCCGGGUGUGUUAUAGUCUCUGAUCAGAUACAGUGGCUGGGACUGAGGAACUCAGCACGCCGCAAGGCCGGGGUUCGCCCACGUUCGUNCUUAGGAUGCUGGCAAAANGGCUUUAAUCG
rnacentral:rRNA from 1 species